rnacentral:hammerhead_ribozyme from 1 species
AUCCAGCCGACGAGUCCCAAAUAGGACGAAACGCGCGUUCUGGAU